AGGAAGCGAUUACAGAUGAUAACGACAAGCCAAUGUCGGUGGAUGUGGCUGUCCAGAAGGAGCAGCUAGAUUUGUGUCUUACCCUACGCAGGUUGCUAGCAGGAGAAGCCUUCUAGAAGAAGGAAAGGAAGAAUGUUUUCGCCCUCGUGGCGUGAAAGCAAAGGCGUUUUGCAAGGAGUAUAGACAGGUUGCUCCUCCUGAUGAGUCUAGGCGAGGUGCCUUUUGGGAUGCAAAGAUGGCUGACAAGUAGACAGACAAGGAGCGCAAAUGACCUUUGUAAAUUUUGUUGUCGUUACUGUAUCAGUCAGAGAGAAUUCGGUUGUUGUUGCUGUUUUUUCCAUGGAUAUUGAAUGUCUGAUCCAAUGUUCCAUGAAAUUGAGAUCGCGUUGAAGCUAUUCUGAGUUUGUUA